rnacentral:rRNA from 1 species
UACAGAGGGUGCGAGCGUUGUUCGGAAUUAUUGGGCGUAAAGGGCGCGUAGGCGGUGCGGUAAGUCACCUGUGAAAUCUCCUGGCUCAACUGGGAGCUUGCAGGCGAAACUGCCGUGCUGGAGUGUGGGAGAGGUGCGUGGAAUUCCUGGUGUAGCGGUGAAAUGCGUAGAUAUCAGGAGGAACACCGGUGGUGUAAACGGCUUUCUGGACCAUAACUGACGCUGAGGCACGAAAGCUAGGGGAGCAAACAGG